AGAGUUUGAUCAUGGCUCAGGAUAAACGCUGGCGGCGCACAUAAGACAUGCAAGUCGAACGAACUUAACUCAUUCUUUACGAUUGAGAGCGGUUAGUGGCGGACUGGUGAGUAACGCGUGAGCAACCUGCCUAUUAGAGGGGAAUAACAGUGAGAAAUCAUUGCUAAUACCGCAUAAGCUGAUAAUAUCGCAUGAUAAAGUCAGAAAAGGAGAAAUCCGCUAAUAGAUGGGCUCGCGUCUGAUUAGCUAGUUGGUGGGGUAAAGGCCUACCAAGGCGACGAUCAGUAGCCGGACUGAGAGGUUGAACGGCCACAUUGGGACUGAGAUACGGCCCAGACUCCUACGGGAGGCAGCAGUCGGGAAUAUUGCGCAAUGGAGGGAACUCUGACGCAGUGACGCCGCGUAUGGGAAGAAGGUUUUCGGAUUGUAAACCAUUGUCGUUAGGGAAGAAGAAGUGACAGUACCUAAGGAGGAAGCUCCGGCUAACUAUGUGCCAGCAGCCGCGGUAAUACAUAGGGAGCGAGCGUUAUCCGGAUUUAUUGGGUGUAAAGGGUGCGUAGACGGGAAUUUAAGUUGGUUGUGAAAGCCCUCGGCUCAACUGAGGAACUGCAACCAAAACUGGAUUUCUUGAGUAUUGGAGAGGAAAGUGGAAUUCCUAGUGUAGCGGUGAAAUGCGUAGAUAUUAGGAGGAACACCAGUGGCGAAGGCGGCUUUCUGGACAAUAACUGACGUUGAGGCACGAAAGUGUGGGGAGCAAACAGGAUUAGAUACCCUGGUAGUCCACACCGUAAACGAUGGAUACUAGGUGUAGGGUGUGAAUAAUACUCUGUGCCGUCGCAAACGCAAUAAGUAUCCCACCUGGGGAGUACGACCGCAAGGUUGAAACUCAAAGGAAUUGACGGGGGCCCGCACAAGCAGUGGAGUAUGUGGUUUAAUUCGAAGCAACGCGAAGAACCUUACCAGGGCUUGACAUAUACAGGACAGCUCAAGAGAUUGAGUUUCUCUUCGGAGUCUGUAUACAGGUGGUGCAUGGUUGUCGUCAGCUCGUGUCGUGAGAUGUUGGGUUAAGUCCCGCAACGAGCGCAACCCCUAUUUCUAGUUGCCAGCACGUGAAGGUGGGAACUCUAGAGAGACUGCCGGUGAUAAAUCGGAGGAAGGUGGGGAUGACGUCAAAUCAUCAUGCCCUUUAUGUCCUGGGCUACACACGUACUACAAUGGCCGUAACAGAGGGAAGCGAAAUAGUGAUAUGGAGCAAAACCCGAAAAGCGGUCUCAGUUCGGAUUGAAGGCUGAAAUUCGCCUUCAUGAAGCCGGAAUUGCUAGUAAUGGCAGGUCAGCAUACUGCCGUGAAUACGUUCCCGGGCCUUGUACACACCGCCCGUCACACCAUGAGAGUUGGGAAUACCCGAAGCCUGUGAGCUAACUUAGGAGGCAGCAGUCGAAGGUAGAAUCAAUGAUUGGGGUGAAGUCGUAACAAGGUAGCCGUAUCGGAAGGUGCGGCUGGAACACCUCCUU
rnacentral:rRNA from 1 species